AUACGGAGGGUGCAAGCGUUAAUCGGAAUUACUGGGCGUAAAGCGUACGUAGGCGGUCCGUUAAGUUAGAUGUGAAAGCCCCGGGCUUAACCUGGGAACUGCAUUUAAAACUGGCGGACUUGAGUUGAGUAGAGAGGAGUGGAAUUUCAGGUGUAGCGGUGAAAUGCGUAGAGAUCUGAAGGAACACCAGUGGCGAAGGCGACUCCCUGGACUCGAACUGACGCUGAGGUACGAAAGCGUGGGUAGCAAACGGGAUUAGAAACCCGAGUAGUCC
rnacentral:rRNA from 1 species